rnacentral:rRNA from 1 species
CGGGGGGAGCAAGCGUUGUUCGGAUUUACUGGGCGUAAAGGGCGCAUAGGCGGCGCAACAAGUCACUUGUGAAAUCUCCGGGCUUAACCCGGAGCGGCCAAGUGAUACUGUCGUGCUAGAGUGCGGAAGGGGCUACUGGAAUUCUCGGUGUAGCGGUGAAAUGCGUAGAUAUCGAGAGGAACACCUGCGGCGAAGGCGGGUAGCUGGGCCGACACUGACGCUGAUGCGCGAAAGCCAGGGGAGCGAACGGGAUUAGAUACCCCGGUAGUCCUGGCCUUAAACGAUGGAUACUUGGUGUCCGAGGUUACAUAGUCCUCGGGUGCCGGCGCUAACGCAUUAAGUAUCCCGCCUGGGGAGUACGGUCGCAAGACUG